rnacentral:rRNA from 1 species
CCCUUAGAUGUUCUGGGCCGCACGCGCGCUACACUGAUUCAUGCAACAAGUUUUGUCCUUGGCUGAUAGGCCUGGGUAAUCUUUGAACGUGAAUCGUGAUGGGGAUAGAUGAUUGCAAUUAUUCAUCUUCAACGAGGAAUUCCUAGUAAACGCAAGUCAUCAGCUUGCAUUGAUUACGUCCCUGCCCUUUGUACACACCGCCCGUCGCACCUACCGAUUGAAUGGUCCGGUGAAAUCUUCGGAUCUGAGAGAUGUCUGAUUAAUUUCGGACGCCUUUUGGAAAAGUUGUUCAAACCUUACCAUUUAGAGGAAGGUGAAGUCGUAACA